rnacentral:lncRNA from 1 species
UGGAACGAUGUAGUCGAAGGAAAAGUGGAGGUAAAGAAGGCAGCGUUUGCUAAGUAGGCAGGGAGCACAAGCGAGGAAGAAUGCAGAGCGAACAGGGAGAUCCACAAGGUGGCAAGGAAAGAAGCAAAGCUGGCGGUUAUGGAAGCUAAAAACGCGGCGUUUGGUCGCAUGUACGAGGAACUAGGGGAGAGAGGCGGGGN